CGGUUAAUUAAUGGUAUUUACUGAGCACUUACUGGGUGCAGAGUAUUGUACUAAGCGCUUGGGAAGGUACAACAGAUCAUAGUUGCCAGAUAAAUGCUCUGCCCACGACGAGCUUACAGCCUACAGGUCAAGGUACUGCCCCUCUCAGCUGUCCAUCUCUUCAGUCGGCCCCCGCUCUGGCCGUCGUCGAUACUGGACUGGACUCCCGAAGUCACGGAGUAGUUGCGCGACGACGGCAGCCCCGAGUCGGCCAACCCCUAGGAAGACCGAGGACCUCCGCUGAUCCUACCCGCUGGGGAGAUGCCACGUCCGACCGCAUCCACCCGCUCCUCCCUGGGCACCAACCCUGACUCCCCGCAGCUGCACUACCUUCUUGUCCUUCUGAUACUUGCUCCACACAUCCUUGGUGAGUC